GGAUAUAGCUCAGUUGGUAGGGUGUUUGCCCCACGUGCAUAAGGCCCUGGGUUCAAUUCCCAGCACACCA
rnacentral:tRNA from 1 species